UUGUUCUUGCUUCAGGAACACAUACACUAAAAUGAGAAUUACACAGAGAAGGUUUUCAUGGCCUCUGCAUGAGAGAGGCAUGCAUAUUCAUGAAGUGUUCCUUAUUUCU